UAUUUUAAGUGAUUGCGCUCUUUUGCAACUCACUAGUGAUGUAUCAUUUUCAAACCGAUUUAAAUAUUCAUUAGGAAGAAAUAUUUGGAACUAUUCCUUAAUAGUAAUUACCUUGAACUGUGCAAUUCUAGUUUGUAAUAUGUAUUUAGUUAGUUUGUGCCUUUGGUUACCUAAAGUUAUAUUUGUAUUAUAUUCAGGAAAUGCACUUUUUAUCACUUACAACUGUGGUUUUAAUACUGCCUUGAAAUAUUAUUGUUCUCUUUACAACUCCUAAAGUUUUGAGGAGGAAAAGAAAAAAAAAACCAAAAGGUUUUUAGUAUAACAAGUUGCAAAUCUAAGAGAAACAUUUUGGCAUUUCAUAAAAAGAACAUGGAAAUACUAAGUAUAUUGCUUCCCGUUGGCAGGGUAGGAAGGAUUGCUUUCACUGAGUUUUAGUUCUGAAGUUUGAAUGAGACGACAAAUCAUUUGUGUUUCCUGAUGACAGUGCAGCUUUGAAGGGAAAAAAUGCAUGAAAUUUCUCACACGCAAAAGGCAGGUGGCUCACAUGACACAGCUCCAUACCACUCAAGCAGGUUAAAGUGAGAAGAUAGUAUUUGAUGCUCCUGUGAGGAACGUUCUGGGAGGGAUACAGGAAAUACUCUGUGAUUGCUUCUUUUCCUUAGGCCCAUUUCAUUGGUGUGAUUUUGGGUUUGAACUUGAUUUACUGUUGCACUCUAGAGAUCCAAAUGAACUGAAAAGUUCAAAGGUUAAGAGGUAUUUAAAUCCAACUAUUUUCAGUUAUCAUUCCAACCGCUGUUGAUUAGAAGCAAAAUUCUGGAAGGAAAGAGGAAUACUGCUCAAUUCACUCUCUCACCAGAACAUUUGCCAUAGAAAUAAGCAUAUGUUUUAUUUUUCAACCCAGCAAAAUAAUGUAUAAAAUAAGGAUGCCAUUUAUUCUCAAGCCACCUAGGAGUUCUAUAAUAUAUAGACUGCAUAUAUAUGAAAUAAUAUAUACAACAUAGCCAAAUAUAUGAAAACUUGACAAUGUAUAAUUUGUAAUUCACAUACUACCUACAUAGAGAGGUAUAACAUUCCGUUACAACUUCCCUUAGAAUUUUAGUUUCCAUCACUUAUUUCUGCAUUUCCUUUUUCUCUUGCUUUCCCACCAGACCUGUUCCCACAGUAACUUUACCAGAGAGUUCAGGCAAAGUUUUUGUGUUUCGGCAGAUUUGUUUGUGUUAAGGUCAAUUUAGUUCAAUUGCGAUGAAAAGCAGAAGUAUAAUCAUAAAGUAUCAAGAAAAAUUGGAGGGAAUGGAGUGUAUUAUAGCUUGUAGGGAAACAUGUGGCUAUAGAUUGGGUGUACCAUUCUUGUUUUCUUGGAGGAACACACGUAUACAUAGCGACCUGCCUGAUACUUCAGAUCUCAGACUGCUCUUCCACAGCCUUCUGUAAGGUUCUUUAUUCUGCAAAGAAAAGAAAACAAACAAAAAAAGAGCAAAAGAACAAAAACAGAAAAAAAGAGAAAAAGAAAACAAAACAAAAAAACAGUAAUAAUUCAACCACAAAACGGUGACUUAUUUCAGUGUGUCCUUUGUGUGAAAGCUGUUAAGGACCAAAUAUACUACUGUGUUACUGUGUGUAAGAAGAAAUCGCUUCCUAAACAGUAAUUGAACAUACUUAGAGUUAAACUUGCUGUGGAUUUUGUCUUGGCAGUUGUCAUCUUACAUUAUUUGUCAAAGGAAAUGUGUUUGGCAGUUAAAAAUCUUUCCUUAGAUUUAGUGGUGGACUUUAACCUCUUAAAUAAAUGUUAGUAUAUCAGAUUGUGUCCUUGAAAAAUAUUUUACGUGUAUGAAUCAUGACAGUGUCUAAAUCUUUACUGUUCUUCUGGCAAAAGCAUCAGUAAGAGAAACGGUGAAAAGGAGAAGUCCAGCCUUUCUGUCAGAAAAGGACUCUUUUUAGCUGCUUCCUUUCUCAUGAAAAGUAAAGAUGUUUACAGUGUAUGCCAAGAUUUUCGGUUUCUAUGUAACAACAGUUAGAGGUUCUAAUCAUACUGAAAAUUGUGUUCUAAUGGCCUGAGCCGUGUUGCUAGGAAACAAUAGGUUCCAAUUUUGUAUUCCUGCUCUCCUGUGCUGAAAAGUGACUGGACACCUUACAGGUUCAUGUUCUCUGGCUGCAGUUCCAUGCUCUUUUGCAUUUUGCUCUGGCUUUCAGGCCAGAAGCAUGCAUUUUUUUCUACAAGAGCAUCACAACAACAUGCUGUAAAUACUUAAAAGUUAAACAUUAUGUGUCAAUAUUUGAAAGAAAAGUACUUUGAAUAUUUCAUUUUUAAAAAAUAAAAUCGC
rnacentral:lncRNA from 1 species